rnacentral:tRNA from 2 species
GGGGGCAUAGUGUAGUGGAUAGCAUCUGGGGCUUCGGAUCCCAGGACCUCGGUUCGAAUCCGGGUGCCCUCACCA